rnacentral:misc_RNA from 1 species
GAAAUGCGAUACCUAGUGUGAAUUGCAGAUCUUUUGGGAGUCAUCGAAACCUUGAACGCACUGCGCCCCCGAGCACAACUCGGGGGCAUGCCCGGCCGAGUGUCGUUACACAUCAAUCACCCGCGCAAAGCGCGGGUGGCUAUGGGCUUCACGGCAGGCGAGCACGGCCGCGUUGCCUUAAAUUCCAAACUCGCCCAACUUAGGCGCCCGAGGAGGCCUGAGUUGCCCCAAAUGCAAGGCAAUCCAUUUUCACCGACCUCGACCGGGCAAGGCCACCCGCCGGACUUAA